UUAGGAAUCUUGCGCAAUGGGGGCAACCCUGACGCAGCGACGCCGCGUGGAGGAUGAAGGUUUUCGGAUCGUAAACUCCUUUUAAGAGGGAAGAAGUUCUGACGGUACCUCUUGAAUAAGCCCCGGCUAACUACGUGCCAGCAGCCGCGGUAAUACGUAGGGGGCGAGCGUUGUCCGAAGUUACUGGGCGUAAAGCGCGCGUAGGCGGUUUCUUAAGUCUGGGGUGAAAGGUUCAGCGCUCAACGUGAACAGUGCCUUGGAUACUGGGAGACUUGAGUAAGGGAGAGGGCAGUGGAAUUCCUGGUGUAGCGGUGAAAUGCGUAGAUAUCAGGAGGAACACCAAUGGCGAAGGCAGCUGCCUGGCCUAUUACUGACGCUGAGGUGCGAAAGCGUGGGGAGCGAACGGG
rnacentral:rRNA from 1 species